rnacentral:rRNA from 1 species
UACGUAGGGGGCAAGCGUUGUCCGGAUUUAUUGGGCGUAAAGAGCGUGUAGGCGGCCUGAAAGGUCAGCUGUGAAAACUCGAGGCUCAACCUCGAGACGUCGGUUGAAACCAUCUGGCUAGAGUCCGGAAGAGGAGUGUGGAAUUCCCGGUGUAGCGGUGGAAUGCGUAGAGAUCCGGAAGAACACCAGUGGCGAAGGCGACUUACUGGACACAUAUUGACGCUGAGGUGCGAAAGCGUGGGGAGCAAACAGG